AACGAACGCUGGCGGCAGGCCUAACACAUGCAAGUCGAGCGAGGACUUCGGUCCUAGCGGCGGACGGGUGAGUAACGCGUGGGAACGUGCCCUUUGCUUCGGAAUAGCCCUGGGAAACUGGGAGUAAUACCGGAUGAGCCCUUUGGGGGAAAGAUUUAUCGGCGAAGGAUCGGCCCGCGUUGGAUUAGGUAGUUGGUGGGGUAAUGGCCUACCAAGCCGACGAUCCAUAGCUGGUUUGAGAGGAUGAUCAGCCACACUGGGACUGAGACACGGCCCAGACUCCUACGGGAGGCAGCAGUGGGGAAUCUUAGACAAUGGGGGAAACCCUGAUCUAGCCAUGCGGCGUGAGCGAUGAAGGCCUUAGGGUUGUAAAGCUCUUUCAGCUGGGAAGAUAAUGACGGUACCAGCAGAAGAAGCCCCGGCUAACUCCGUG
rnacentral:rRNA from 1 species